AUACAUAACAUUCCGGACAUUCCGGACAGCUCGGGCAGUCGGGGACAGGAUCACUGUGUCACAACUGUCAUCACUGUCACCUAGGAGGUCAGGACACCUGAGCUCCGGCUACAACCCAGAUGGCUGCUCACCACCCCUGCAGCCUCUCACAUCCUUCAGGCACUUAAGGUUGCAGGGGAUGCAGUGAAGCAAGGACAAAAGGACUGGAGUGCGCCCUGUGUUUAUCACAACACUAUUCACAAUAGCCAAGAUAUGGAAGCAACCUAAGUGUCCACCAGUAGAUGAAUGG